rnacentral:rRNA from 1 species
UUCGCAGUAUUUAAUUUUAAGCAUUAAAGUAAUUUAGACUUAGAAAUUUACUAUAAUACGAACUAAAUUUGUGCCAGCAGUUGCGGUUAUACAAAUUGUAUGAGUUAAGCUUAUUUAAUUUAGUUAAAUGUUUAAUAUUUUAGGUGAAAGUCGGACCUUUUAAGUGAAAUUUUAAGUCCGAGUGUAAUUAAUAAAGUGUUUUUGAAGCUAGGAAGUUUCGGUGUAAACUAGGAUUAGAUACCCUAUUAUUGGAAGAUUGAAUUUUCGGUUAAAAUUACUAAUAGUUAUGAUCUUUAAAAUUAAAAAAUUUGGCGGUAUUUUAAUCUAUUCAGAGGAACCUGGUUUUUAAUUGAUAGUCCACGAUUAGUCUUACUUUAAGUAUAAAUUUGUAUAUCGUCGUAGUUUGAAUAUUCUAGGAGGAUUAAAUGUUCAAUUGUUAUAAUGAUAAGAGAAUUCAGAUCAAGGUGCAGUUAAUAUUAAAGUUAAAAUGGGUUACAUUGUAGUUAUAGUUGGUUCUUGAAUUUGAAAAGUCUAGAUAAAUUGGAUUUGAAAGUAAUUUUAUAUAUUUAUAUAAAAUGACUAUGCUCUAAGGUAUGUACAUAUUGCCCGUCGCUUUCAUAUAAAAUGAAAUAAGUCGUAACAAAGUAGACUUAUUGGAAAAUGAGUCUGGAA